GCAGUGCCCUUGAUACUGAAGAGCUUGAAUACAUUAGAGGUAGGCGGAAUGUGACAAGUAGCGGUGAAAUGCAUAGAUAUGUCACAGAACACCGAUUGCGAAGGCAGCUUACUAUGAUGAGAUUGACGCUGAGGCACGAAAGCGUGGGGAUCAAACAGGAUUAGAUACCCUGGUAGUCCACGCCCUAAACGAUGAAUACUCGCUGUUAGCGAUACACAGUUAGCGGCUAAGCGAAAGCGUUAAGUAUUCCACCUGGGGAGUACGGUCGCAAGAUUGAAACUCAAAGGAAUUGACGGGGGCCCGCGCAAGCGGAGGAGCAUGUGGUUUAAUUCGAUGAUACGCGAGGAACCUUACCCGGGCUUGAAAGUUAGUGAAUCAUUUAGAGAUAGAUGAGUGAGCAAUCACACGAAACUAGGUGCUGCAUGGCUGUCGUCAGCUCGUGCCGUGAGGUGUUGGGUUAAGUCCCGCGACGAGCGCAACCCCUAUGUUUAGUUGCCAGCACGUUAAGGUGGGGACUCUAAACAGACUGCCUGUGCAAACAGAGAGGAAGGAGGGGACGACGUCAAGUCAUCAUGGCCCUUACGUCCGGGGCUACACACGUGCUACAAUGGAUGGUACAGAGGGCAGCAAGCUGGCAACAGCAAGCGAAUCUCCAAAAGCCAUUCACAGUUCGGAUAGAGGUCUGCAACUCGACCUCUUGAAGUUGGAUUCGCUAGUAAUCGCAUAUCAGCAAUGAUGCGGUGAAUACGUUCCCGGGCCUUGUACACACCGCCCGGCAAGCCAUGGAAGUUGGGGGUACCUAAA
rnacentral:rRNA from 1 species